rnacentral:rRNA from 1 species
UGUCGUCAGCUCGUGUUGUGAAAUGUUGGGUUAAGUCCCGCAACGAGCGCAACCCUUAUCCUUUGUUGCCAGCGAUUAGGUCGGGAACUCAAAGGAGACUGCCAGUGAUAAACUGGAGGAAGGUGGGGAUGACGUCAAGUCAUCAUGGCCCUUACGACCAGGGCUACACACGUGCUACAAUGGCGCAUACAAAGAGAAGCGACCUCGCGAGAGCAAGCGGACCUCAUAAAGUGCGUCGUAGUCCGGAUUGGAGUCUGCAACUCGACUCCAUGAAGUCGGAAUCGCUAGUAAUCGUGGAUCAGAAUGCCACGGUGAAUACGUUCCCGGGCCUUGUA